rnacentral:rRNA from 1 species
GAUGAACGCUGGCGGCGUGCUUAACACAUGCAAGUCGAACGAAGCACCUCUAAUUGAAGAUUGACGAAGCUUGCUUCUGAUUGAUUCGCCUUGAGGUGACUGAGUGGCGGACGGGUGAGUAACGCGUGGGUAACCUACCCUAUACAGGGGGAUAACAGUUGGAAACAGCUGCUAAUACCGCAUAAGCGCACAGCUUCGCAUGAAGCAGUGCGAAAAACUCCGGUGGUAUAGGAUGGACCCGCGUCUGAUUAGCUAGUUGGUGGGGUAAUGGCCUACCAAGGCAACGAUGCAUAUCCGAGCUGAGAGGCUGAUCGGACACAUUGGAACUGAGAUACGGUCCAAACUCC